AAAGCAACUGAAAUAAACUAAAACGGAUUUAGUGUUCACUCAUACUCGGACGAAGCGCGCAAUCUAAGCAAGGAGUGACGUUGAAGAGCGAUAUGACUGCGCGGGUACCGUGCAGGUGAGCAAUGCAAUGCCUAUUGAUGCGAGAGAGUGACGUGACGUCACAGUUGGAGGUGAGAUUGGAGUUGCUUGGUGCGUCUCUAGUCGUAGGGGAGCCGCGAUGGUAGCAAGGGAGUGAGUCUUCUUCGUGUUACUGCUGGUUGGUAAAGGGCUGAGAGGGCAUUGUAGUUCCUAUAAAAUGGGUUAUUACGGGUACUGUGACAGUUUUGUGAUGCUAUAUGAGGAGCGAUUCAAGUGGAUUUGCAGAGGGAUGGAACUGAAUGGUGUUGUGUUGAUCAAAGAAGAUGAGUAGGCGCUAUGGUGGGUCUAAUCGAAGAAAGAAGCUGCUAUGGCGAUGUGUCAAUGAGCUAUGGUUUCAAAUGAGAAAGCUUGGGGAACAGAACACUGGGUAUAAUGUCGAUGGAGGAGAAUGGAUCGAAAUG
rnacentral:misc_RNA from 1 species